CACGCAUUGACGGCCGGUACGAAACAACAUAAGUUGCGAUAAUUAAAAAUGUUGAUCGUAUUGAUAUCAUAGAUCUGGUCUAUACAAUGUGUCAACGGCCAAGAGAAGCCUCAAAACAAAACAAAAUAAUGAACCAAAUGGUCCAUAACAAAAUAACACAUUAUUCCCUCCCAAAAAAAUUGCCUAAGUCAAAGAAAUUAUUGACUACCCACCGUUCCAUCACCAUCACCAUCUUCAGCGCCUCGUCAGCUU
rnacentral:lncRNA from 1 species